AUUGAACGCUGGCGGCAGGCCUAACACAUGCAAGUCGAGCGAGCGGCGGACGGGUGAGUAAUGCCUAGGAAUCUGCCUGGUAGUGGGGGAUAAAGUCCGGAAACGGUAGCUAAUGCCGCAUACCAUCGGAUGUGCCCAGAUGGGCUUAGCUAGUAGGUGGGGUAACGGCCCACAUAGGUGACGAUCCCUAGCUGGUCUGACAGGAUGACCGCCCACACUGGAACUGAGACACGGUCCAGACUCCUACGGGAGGCAGCAGUGGGGAAUAUUGCACAAUGGGCGCAAGCCUGAUACAGCCAUGCCGCGUGUAUGAAGAAGGCCUUCGGGUUGUAAAGUACUUUCAGCGAGGAGGCGUUACUCGCAGAAGAAGCACCGGCUAACUCCGUGCCAGCAGCCGCGGUAAUUC
rnacentral:rRNA from 1 species